rnacentral:sRNA from 1 species
UGAUUGGAUUUAAUUGUGCAGGUCUGGA